rnacentral:ncRNA from 1 species
GGCGUGGGACGACCCACAUUUUCAUGCAUGUCUCGGGACGACCCG